rnacentral:rRNA from 1 species
AUACGGAGGGUGCAAGCGUUACUCGGAAUCACUGGGCGUAAAGCGCGCGCAGGCGGCUAUUUAAGUUGGAUGUGAAAGCCUACGGCUCAACCGUAGAACUGCAUCCAAAACUAUUUAGCUAGAGUGUGGGUGAGGAAGAUGGAAUUAGUUGUGUAGGGGUAAAAUCCGUAGAGAUAACUAGGAAUACCAAAAGCGAAGGCAAUCUUCUGGAACACUACUGACGCUGAGGCGCGAAAGCGUGGGGAGCAAACAGGAUUAGAAACCCUAGUAGUCC